rnacentral:rRNA from 1 species
UACGUAGGCAGCGAGCGUUGUUCGGAGUUACUGGGCGGAAAGGGUGCGUAGGCGGUUGUUUAAGUUUGGUGUGAAAUCUCCCGGCUCAACUGGGAGGGUGCGCCGAAUACUGAAUGACUAGAGUGCGGGAGAGGAGAGUGGAAUUCCUGGUGUAGCGGUGAAAUGCGUAGAUAUCAGGAGGAACACCGGUGGUGUAGACGGCUCUCUGGACCGUAACUGACGCUGAGGCACGAAAGCGUGGGUAGCGAACAGG